ACGCCGUAANCGAUGAGUGCUAGGUGUUAGGCCCUUUCCGGGGCUUAGUGCCGCAGCUAACGCAUUAAGCACUCCGCCUGGGGAGUACGACCGCAAGGUUGAAACUCAAAGGAAUUGACGGGGGCCCGCACAAGCGGUGGAGCAUGUGGUUUAAUUCGAAGCAACGCGAAGAACCUUACCAGGUCUUGACAUCCCGAUGCCCGCUCUAGAGAUAGAGUUUUACUUCGGUACAUCGGUGACAGGUGGUGCAUGGUUGUCGUCAGCUCGUGUCGUGAGAUGUUGGGUUAAGUCCCGCAACGAGCGCAACCCUUAUUGUUAGUUGCCAUCAUUCAGUUGGGCACUCUAGCGAGACUGCCGGUAAUAAACCGGAGGAAGGUGGGGAUGACGUCAAAUCAUCAUGCCCCUUAUGACCUGGGCUACACACGUGCUACAAUGGCUGGUACAACGAGUCGCAAGUCGGUGACGGCAAGCUAAUCUCUUAAAGCCAGUCUCAGUUCGGAUUGUAGGCUGCAACUCGCCUACAUGAAGUCGGAAUCGCUAGUAAUCGCGGAUCAGCACGCCGCGGUGAAUACGUUCCCGGGCCUUGUACACACCGCCCGUCACACCACGAGAGUUUGUANCACC
rnacentral:rRNA from 1 species